rnacentral:rRNA from 1 species
GACGUACGCUGGCGGCGUGCUUAACACAUGCAAGUCGAGCGGUAAGGCCCCUUCGGGGGUACACGAGCGGCGAACGGGUGAGUAACACGUGAGCAACCUACCCUCAACUUCGGGAUAAGCCUCGGAAACGGGGUCUAAUACCGGAUAUCAUCACGGGCUUCAUGGUUUGUGGUUGAAAGUUCUGGCGGUUGGGGAUGGGCUCGCGGCCUAUCAGCUUGUUGGUGGGGUAAUGGCCUACCAAGGCGUCGACGAGUAGCCGGCCUGAGAGGGCGACCGGCCACACUGGGACUGAGACACGGCCCAGACUCCUACGGGAGGCAGCAGUGGGGAAUAUUGCGCAAUGGACGAAAGUCUGACGCAGCAACGCCGCGUGAGGGAUGACGGCCUUCGGGUUAUAAACCUCUUUCAGCAGGGACGAAGCGAGAGUGACGGUACCUGCAGAAGAAGGACCGGCCAACUACGUGCCAGCAGCCGCGGUAAUACGUAGGGUCCGAGCGUUGUCCGGAAUUAUUGGGCGUAAAGGGCUCGUAGGCGGUUCGUCACGUCGGGAGUGAAAACUCGGAGCUUAACUCCGAGCCCGCUUCCGAUACGGGCAGGCUAGAGGUAGGCAGGGGAGGGCGGAACUCCUGGUGUAGCGGUGGAAUGCGCAGAUAUCAGGAAGAACACCGGUGGCGAAGGCGGCUCUCUGGGCCUUACCUGACGCUGAGGAGCGAAAGCGUGGGUAGCGAACAGGAUUAGAUACCCUGGUAGUCCACGCCGUAAACGUUGGGCGCUAGGUGUGGGGGACAUUCCACGUCCUCCGUGCCGCAGCUAACGCAUUAAGCGCCCCGCCUGGGGAGUACGGCCGCAAGGCUAAAACUCAAAUGAAUUGACGGGG